UACGAAGGGGGCUAGCGUUGCUCGGAAUCACUGGGCGUAAAGCGCACGUAGGCGGCUUUUUAAGUCAGAGGUGAAAUCCUGGAGCUCAACUCCGGAACUGCCUUUGAUACUGGAGAGCUUGAGUCCGGGAGAGGUGAGUGGAACUGCGAGUGUAGAGGUGAAAUUCGUAGAUAUUCGCAAGAACACCAGUGGCGAAGGCGGCUCACUGGCCCGGUACUGACGCUGAGGUGCGAAAGCGUGGGGAGCAAACAGG
rnacentral:rRNA from 1 species